rnacentral:tRNA from 1 species
CAUUAGAUGACUGAAAGCAAGUAUCGGUCUCUUAAACCGCCCAAUAGUAGUGUAGCAUCUACUUCUAAUGAA